AUGAGGGCCCCCACACAGACCCUGGUGUUGCAGCUGCUCUGGCUUUUAGGUGCCAGAUGUGACAUCCAGAUGACCCAGUCUCCAGCGUCCCUGUCUGUGUCUCUGGGAGAAAGUGUCACCAUUACAUGCCGGGCAAGUGAGAACGUUUACAGUGCUUUAGCAUGGUAUCAGCAGAAACCAGGGGGACCACCUAAGCUCAUGAUCUAUAAUGCAAAUAGUUUGGCAGAUGAAGUCCCUUCUAGAUUCAGUGGCAGUGGAUCUGGCACACAGUAUUCUCUCAAGAUCAGCAGCCUGCAGCCUGAAGAUGUAGCGAUUUAUCACUGUCACCAUUAUACUGAUUAUCCUACCACAGUGAUACAAGUCAUAACAUAA